rnacentral:rRNA from 1 species
GACGAACGCUGGCGGCGUGCUUAACACAUGCAAGUCGAGCGGAGCGGUGCACGGGUGAGUAACGCGUGAGUAACCGCCCCCCUCUCUGGGAUAACAGUUGGUAACGGCUCCCAAUUCCGGAAAGAGGGGGAUGACUUGGGUCCUAUCAGUUUGUUGGUGGGGUAGUGGCCUACCAAGGGUACGCCGGGUAGCCGGCCUGGGAGGGCGACCGGCCACAAAGGGCUCAGAUACGGCCCAAAUGACUAGCGGGGGCAGCGGUCGGGAAUAUUGCAUCAUCAGGGAAACACUGGUGCGCGAACGCCGGGUGCGGGAUAACGGACUUCGGGUUGUCAGCCGCAUUCAGCAAUGACGCGGUACUAGCAGAAGAAGAACCGGCUAACUACGUGCCAGCCGCCGCGGUAAUAC